AGAGGUAGUAGGUUGCAUAGUUUUAGGGCAGGGAUUUUGCCCACAAGGAGGUAACUAUACGACCUGCUGCCUUUC
rnacentral:pre_miRNA from 6 species